GACGAACGCUGGCGGCGUGCUUAACACAUGCAAGUCGAACGGAAAGGCCCUGCUUUUGUGGGGUGCUCGAGUGGCGAACGGGUGAGUAACACGUGAGUAACCUGCCCUUGACUUUGGGAUAACUUCAGGAAACUGGGGCUAAUACCGGAUAGGAGCUCCUGCUGCAUGGUGGGGGUUGGAAAGUUUCGGCGGUUGGGGAUGGACUCGCGGCUUAUCAGCUUGUUGGUGGGGUAGUGGCUUACCAAGGCUUUGACGGGUAGCCGGCCUGAGAGGGUGACCGGCCACAUUGGGACUGAGAUACGGCCCAGACUCCUACGGGAGGCAGCAGUGGGGAAUAUUGCACGAUGGGCGGAAGCCUGAUGCAGCAACGCCGCGUGCGGGAUGACGGCCUUCGGGUUGUAAACCGCUUUCGCCUGUGACGAAGCGUGAGUGGCGGUAAUGGGUAAAGAAGCACCGGCUAACUACGUG
rnacentral:rRNA from 1 species